GCUGGCGUAGCUCAGCGGGUAGAGCAGCGGAUUUGUAAUCCGCAGGUCGGGGGUUCAAAUCCCUUCGCCAGCCCCA
rnacentral:tRNA from 1 species